rnacentral:rRNA from 1 species
UACGAGGGGGCGAGCGUUGUUCGGAAUUAUUGGGCGUAAAGGGUGCGUAGGCGGUUUGGUAAGUCUGAUGUGAAAUCUAUGGGCUCAACUCAUAGUCUGCAUCGGAAACUGCCGGGCUUGAGUAUGGGAGAGGUGAGUGGAAUUCCUGGUGUAGCGGUGAAAUGCGUAGAUAUCAGGAGGAACACCUGUGGCGAAAGCGGCUCACUGGACCAUAACUGACGCUGGAGACGCGAAAGCGUGGGGAGCAAACAGG